rnacentral:rRNA from 1 species
GUGUCAGCCGCCGCGGUAAAACGUAGGUGGCGAGCGUUAUCCGGAUUCAUUGGGCGUAAAGCGCUUGUAGGUGGCCCUGUAAGUUGGACGUGAAAUCUCCCGGCUUAACCGGGAGAGGUCGUUCAAUACUGCGAGGCUGGAGGAUGUCAGAGGGCAGCGGAAUUCCUGGUGUAGCAGUGAAAUGCGUAGAUAUCAGGAGGAACACCCGUGGCGAAGGCGGCUGCCUGGGGCAACCCUGACACUGAGAAGCGAAAGCUAGGGGAGCGAACGGGAUUAGAAACCCUGGUAGUCC